UACGUAGGGGGCAAGCGUUGUCCGGAAUCAUUGGGCGUAAAGAGCUCGUAGGCGGCUUGUCGCGUCGAAUGUGAAAACUUGGGGCUCAACUCCAAGCUUGCAUUCGAUACGGGCAGGCUAGAGUUCGGUAGGGGAGACUGGAAUUCCUGGUGUAGCGGUGAAAUGCGCAGAUAUCAGGAGGAACACCGGUGGCGAAGGCGGGUCUCUGGGCCGAUACUGACGCUGAGGAGCGAAAGCGUGGGGAGCGAACAGG
rnacentral:rRNA from 1 species